CACCGAAGUCAAGCAUCAUUGGGCGCGGUCAGUACUUGGGGGGUGACCACCUGGGAACACCGCGUGCCGUU